rnacentral:lncRNA from 1 species
GCAAAUUAUGAAUCAAUUAAAGAUGGGCGACAAAAGUGCAGGAUUCUCAGGUACUUUAUUUCAUGAGGAGAAUUCUUUUUCUAUGAAUGCAUGGAUAAUCGAUACGGGGGCUAGUGACCACAUAAUUUGUAGUGAGCAAUUUUUUUCCCAUGUCGAUAGACAAUCAGAACUUCCCAUAUCAGUGCGUCUUCCAAAUGGAAACGUCACUCAAGUUACCAAGAUCGGCACUGUUCACCUUGGUCCCCAUUUUGUCCUCAGAAAUGUCUUAUACAUUCCUGAUUUUGAAUUCAACCUACUUUUUGUCUCAAAAGUUUGCAUAGAUAGUUCCUGUCAUGCAAUAUUCAGCUACGACAAUUGUUUCUUUCAGGACCGUUCGAAUGGCACACUGAUGGGCUUGGGUAGUGUUGCACAAGGAUUAUACUACUGGAUUGAUUCCCUUAGUGUCACGCCCCGAUCCUUGGACGCGCGCACAUCCUUCUACUUGGUCGAUUUUAGAAUGCGAUAUCCCAGGACUAUGUAUCGCCGACCCUUUCUAGUUAUUAAGCACAUGCGGAAGCAGUUAUAAAUCCCUAGACAAUAAAACAAUGGGAUAGGAAAGUAGGCCAUAUUUUUCAUAUUGAAAUUCAUAACCACACUUUCAUUAACAGCACAACUCAUAGUAUAUUUACAAUACUAUUUACAACAUAAAAGUCUCACGCCUAUCUACACUAAGACAGGGUGCACAAAAGGGAUGGGAUCUCAAUCCACAUCUGGGUUGUACUCAAGAUCCCUCUCUGGAUCAUCUUCUACUUCAAAAUACUUUCUCCCCUUCAGGUUCCUCUUCCUUAGCUUCUCCUCAGGUUCCUGAAAUGGUUAUUCAAUAACUAAUGAGACCACGUCUCAGCGAGUCCUACCCUCUACGACUCGAUUAGUAAACUAAUACACCAUACGGUUGCCUAAGCACAACAUGAGUUAGAGGACUUACCUUAGCCUCAGUUCCAACCUGCAAUUCAAGGUUAAACACAGAUAUUCAAACAAUUCACGACAUCCGAUCAUGCAUUGAUCAAUCGACUAAGUCGAUUACAUGUCAGCCAGACCCUUUCUAGGUCAUUCCCACUCAUACCACGAAUUCCCAGUGGUGUACUCAUUCACCAAAUCACAUGUGUUUCUCGGGCGUCGUUUUCGCCAAUGACAUACCGAUCACCGACACCGUGCGUUCUUUAAGGCGCCGUUUUCACCAGUGAUAACCUUGAUCACCGAACCACGUGUCCUUUCAAGGGUGCCGUUUUCGCCAAGGUGACAUCGGCUAUAGACAACAUCGUGCGUUCUUUAAGGCGCCGUUUUCACUAGUGAUAUUCCCAUAACCACCGAACCACGUUUGUCUAUAAGUCAUUUACGUGCGUUCUUUAAGGCGCCGUUUUCGCCAGUGAUACUUCCAAUCACCGAACCACGUAUGUCCAAUAACAUCGUACCUGAUUGGUCUCAGCCAAUAACAUUCUCAGUUAGCUCUCACCGUUCUCCCUACUAUAUAGCCCAUCAACGUACUGGCACUAUAUACCCAUAUUCGGCCAACAACCAAUCAAAUAUUCAAUAACAAACAAUUUAGGGAAAUUCCUAAAAUUCCACAAUAAAUUCAAUUCCACACAACGUAGAGCUCAAAUAAAUAAACGGUCUGCACCACGACAAUCGGCACGAAAUUCCGGUCACCGGCCAUCCCGGUUGAAUUUCCGGAAAAAUAAUUAAUUAAUUAAAUAAAUUUCGAAAAUAAAUAAAUAAACAUUAAAAAAUCCAAUUUAGGCCCAUAUUGCCUGAUUGGAGCCCGAAACGGGUCGGGAAAAAUCCCGAGAUGCAUUCAAUAAAUAACCAAACAUUUCUACUUGCUAAUAGCUAGGUCUAACCACCUAACAUGCAUUAUUAAGUCACUAAAUUAAUUGUUCUAACCUAAUCUAACCACCUAAUUGCAAUUAAUUAAAUCUAACCAACCCUAAGACAUAAUUAGCAAACUAAUAAAUCAUUAGUGAGUAAAACUCACUUGGUAAAACGAAGAUCGAAAACCGCGACGGCGGCCGAAUUCCAAAAUUUCGGCGGCGACGAUAGACACUCGAGCCGGGCCUACAAGCCUCGCAAGCCCACAACAAAAGCUAGCCUUGGGCUGACUUGCUUCACGGGCCCAAGACGGGCUGAACUUGCUGGGCCUCGCUGAAAUACAAAUGAUGUUGGACUCGACACUCGGGCUGAGAUGGGCUUGAAACAAAACUGAACUAGGCUUCGAGAUAUGGGCUGGACUUCAAUUGCUUUGCUGGAAAUUGGGCUUGGCCAAUUAAUUCACGUGAACUGGGCUGGGCUGGGCUUGAAAUGGCCCUCAGCUGGACUGAACUUUACUGGGCCCAAAUGAUUGAAAGUGUUGGGCUAAGGGCAGGCUGCUGGAGAAGACCGAAGACUGUUGGAGCUGGUGUCACGCGUGGGCUGGGCAGCUGCGGUUGGCCCACGAACUGGAGAAACAGCUGCUGGCAUGCACUGGAAUCUUCGAGCUUCGCUGGCAACAAGGGGACGAGAUGCAGCUUCGCUCGGUGGGGGAUUUCUUCGGUCAAUCUUCAGCGAUUUUCAGCUGGGUCUUGACCGGUGAAAUGGACUGAAAUGUGGCAGAGAUGGGGAGAAGCUGUUGGCGUCGAUGGACGUGGGAAGAAGACGCAACGUGGUUUCGCUGGAGUCUUCAAUUCGCUUAAGUCCACGGACGUGAGUCUUCUUCAGUGGAAGGCCUCGCGCGGCUGAAGAAGAAGAGGCGUGGAUGAAGAGUCUUCAGUGGCAGCUGCAGCUUCAUUGGACGUGGCUGCUUGAAGAUUGUAGGUGGACGUGGCAGCGGCAGGAAUUGCUCAGUCAACCAAGGAAUUCGGUGACUUGCUGGUUGACCGAGAGAGCGCAGACGUUGGACGGGUGGCAAGGAGAUUUCGGUGGAGAUGGGGGGUGUCCGCUGGCGUUGAUGCUGAGUCGUGGAUGAAGAAGCCGCUUGGGGUUUCGGUGAGUGGAGGUUUCACGGUCAACACCAGCUUCGCUGGUUGACCGAACUGAAUGAAUUAGUUCGGUGGGUGGAGCUACAGGGAAUCAUGGCCUAAAGUGGAGAAGCGGACGAAGGUGCGGCAGCUUGGGGAGAAAACUCGGUGAACUUGUUUCGCGGCUUCAGUGGAGAAAGAUGGAGUCUUCGCUGGGGGGAGAAGUUGAGGACGAAGGGAGAGAGAGAUCUUCGGGCGUGUGGCUGGUUU